CUACGGGUCGCUCCAGUUAAGAAUCUUCCGCAAUGGACGAAAGUCUGACGGAGCGACGCCGCGUGGGUGAAGAAGGCCGAGAGGUUGUAAAGCCCUUUUCUGCUUGAGGAAUAAGCCUGGUAGGGAAUGACCGGGUGAUGACGGUAGGGCAGGAAUAAGCCCCGGCUAAUUACGUGCCAGCAGCCGCGGUAACACGUAUGGGGCGAGCGUUGUUCGGAAUCAUUGGGCGUAAAGGGCGUGUAGGCGGAAAUGCAAGUCUGGUGUGAAAGACCGCAGCUCAACUGCGGGGACGCGCUGGAAACUGCAUAUCUUGAGUUCCGGAGGGGGAGUUGGAAUUCCUGGUGUAGGGGUGAAAUCUGUUGAUAUCAGGAAGAACAUCGGUGGCGAAGGCGAACUCCUGGACGAGAACUGACGCUGAGGCGCGAAAGCGUGGGGAGCGAACAGGAUUAGAUACCCGUGUAGUC
rnacentral:rRNA from 1 species